CCGCCUGGGGAGUACGGCCGCAAGGUUAAAACUCAAAUGAAUUGACGGGGGCCCGCACAAGCGGUGGAGCAUGUGGUUUAAUUCGAUGCAACGCGAAGAACCUUACCUGGUCUUGACAUCCACGGAACUUUCCAGAGAUGGAUUGGUGCCUUCGGGAACCGUGAGACAGGUGCUGCAUGGCUGUCGUCAGCUCGUGUUGUGAAAUGUUGGGUUAAGUCCCGCAACGAGCGCAACCCUUAUCCUUUGUUGCCAGCGGUCCGGCCGGGAACUCA
rnacentral:rRNA from 1 species